CCCCCAUUCUUAACUAAAUAAACCUCCCAUUUUCAAAAGUAAGUAAAAAUAAGCGUGAAUAUAGACUUAGGAUAACGGCUCCUAUAGAGGACUAUAGUUACUCCGGGUGCCUAACACCUUCCCGUAGUAAAACCGACCCCCGAAUCCGGAAACUCAAGGGUUUUUCUCCUUUUACCCUUCCCAAGAAAAAAGAGGGAUAUCAACGGUCAAAAGGUUCAAGUCCAAUUAAUGGCUUGGCACCCAAAAACCAUGAUAACAGAAAUGGCGACUUCACUGGGGACCCUUUUUUAGCGGGUCGCGCCUAGUUUUCCUUAGUUUAUAUUUACGCUUUGUUUUAUUGCUUACAUAUGUGAAUACUUGUUUACUUUCAUUUGACGUGUGGGGUGAGAAUAUCAAAAGUCCUAUACCCGGGCUGAGUGAACUUAUGUUUAGGUAGAGAUAUAAUCGACAAUUCGAUCCGGGGGUUGCCUCGUGUAUUGGAUUAUGCGAUCAAUCUCACAUAGCUGAGGCAUUUUGAAGGUGAUAUUGUCGGCGUGUGUUGUCAUGCUUAGGCACUUCACUUUCAAUUGUUCGACGAAGCUAUGAACCGUAGUUACCAAACCCAUCCUAGCCUUUUUAGGACGUAGUGCGGUGGCUAAAUUGAGUGUUGUCUCAAACUUUAGUCGUCACGCGAUACUACACUCAAACUAGACCUUCUCACAAAUAAUCAUGGAACGGGUGUCGUCCUGUACUACCAUGAUAUAUGUGAGAGAGGUUGCAGUUUGGGAACUGUGUUAGAACCUUGGUUACUACUAUCCAAAGCCUUAGUUCACCGGACGCCGUGUCCAUCCGUGGCCCUGUUACUUUGAAUCUCAAUCCACCUUGUUCUUUGUAACUAAACAAAAACAACCAUGCAUACAUGCAUUCAUGCAUAAGUUUUUUUUUUCACGCAUACAUCGAAGAUUUUUUUAGACAGAUCGAAACAUUGUAAGACAUCGCAGGUGUGAACUUGUAUUCAUAAGUUUACCGUUGUAAAACCUUAUUUUGCUUGUUUAACAGUGUUUACAAUGUUUCGAAUUUGUUUAAAAAGUCCUUCGAUGACAUUAAAAAGAGUCGUUUUUGCAUUUGCAUCUGCAUAUCAUGCAUCAUAUGCAUCAUACAUCGGUCACAAAGGCUUCCAAUUGCUCACUACUUCCUGGUUCCUCUGCCACAGUUUGAAAAGUGGCUCGUGCUCAGAAGGUCUACGAACCUGAUAGAAUCGAUCGAACCAGAGAGUACAGAAGAAGGAAAAAGGCUAUGGAAGAAGAGAACGCUCAGCUCCGUACCGAGUUAGCCACUCUAAGGGAGGAAUUGGCUAAAGCUAAUGAUGUCAUGACUGCUCUGCUAGCCGCUCAAGAACAAUCAGCUACGGCUAUCCCUAUAGCCACAGCUGCACCGGUGACUACAAGCGUGCUCCCAACCACAUCUGCAGACGCUCGCUUUGCUAUGACAGCUGGGUUUCCGUAUGGGCUUCCACCGUUCUUCACUCCCAGUACUGCAGCUGGCGUUUCUGGUACUGUCAAUAAUGGCCAGAUUCCUGGGAAGAACCAUGUCUCUGUCAAUACCACCUUGCCUCAGACAACGGCCACUCUGGAUCGAUUGAGCUAUCGGGGAACUCCCUUGGGAAUGAGCACCUUUCUGGUUAAAGCCUUCGACGGAUCCCGUAAGAACAUUCUUGGGGAGAUAGAUCUGCCAAUAACUAUCUGUCCCGAAACCUUUCUGAUCACGUUCCAGGUCAUGGACAUCAAUGCUGCUCAGCUACCUCCGUCGUACACGUAUGCGCAAUACUCUCAGCAUCCCUUCUUUCCACCAUUCUAUCAUCAGUAUCCUUUGCCAUCGGGUCAACCUCAGGUACCCGUUAAUGCCGUCGUCCAGCGAAUGCAACAACAGCCUCCAGCUCAACAACGACAGCAGCAACAGGCUAGACCUACCUUUCCUCUGAUACCAAUGUUAUAUGCUGAAUUACUCCCGACUCUACUUCUCAAAGGGCACUGCACAACCAGACAGGGCAAGCCUCCACCUGAUCCAUCGCCUCCCAAGUUCCGUUCGGACCUCAAGUGUGAUUUCCAUCAAGGUGCUCUGGGUCAUGAUGUCGAAGGAUGCUAUGCUUUGAAACACAUUGUGAAGAAGCUCAUUAACCAAGGAAAGUUGACUUUUGAGAACAACGUCCCUCAUGUCCUCGACAACCCUCUUCCAAAUCACGCUGCUGUGAACAUGAUUGAGGUAUAUGAGGAAGCUCCCGGACUUGACAUCCGUAAUGUUACAACUCCUCUGGUGCCACUACACAUCAAGUUAUGCCAAGCCUCUCUGUUUGACCAUGACCAUGCCAAUUGCCAAGAAUGAUUCUGUAAUCCUUUGGGUUGUUGCGUUGUUCAAAAUGACAUCCAGAGCUUGAUGAACAACAAUCAUUUGACUGUCAGCGACGUCUGUGUGAUUGUGCCAGUCUUUCAUGAUCCGCCCGUCAAGAGCGUGCCUUCAAAAGAGAAUGUUGAGCCUCUAGUGAUAAGGCUGCCCGGACCAGUACCUUAUACUUCUACAAAGGCUAUUCCUUACAAGUACAAUGCCACAUGAAUCUUCUAUAGUGCUGGGUUUGCCAAUGCAAUUACUGAAAAGACGACUGGAUUUGAUCCUAGGCCUAUGUUUGUUAUACCAGGAGGCAUUGCGAGAAAUUGUGAUGCCAUCAACAUUCAUUCAAUCAUGCAUGUUUCCGAAUAAUGUGUCUUGUUGCUUAAGUGUUUUGUUUUUCAAAAUAACCAUCCUCUCGCUCUGCCCGAAGCGAAAGUGAUAUUUCUGGAAGGGCGUGUUUGUUUCGGCAUCGCCGUUAUUAACAAAAAUCGUCGUUUCUUUCACGACUUUUAUUUUUUUAGUGUUUUUUUUUUCUUUUUUUCUUGGAAAUAAUGGUAAUACCAGAAAAAACCAAAACAUCUUUAUUUUUCUUAUCAAUUUCAAAGAACUGCAUAAAAGAAAAAAAAAACCCUUUUCUAAAAUCAUUCAACCAUUCUAUGCAGUUUGAACCAUAAUAAACCCGUUGAACACAGUAAUCCUACGGUUCCUUCAAAUUUUGAAUUCCCUGUGUAUAAAGCCGAAGAUGAAGAGGAUGAUGAUAUACCAUAUGAGAUCACUCGACUGCUUGAGCAAGAAUCAGCCUAUUGUAUGGAACGAUGAAUGCCGGAAGCUUUUGAUAGCAUCAAGAAUUACCUGCUGGAACCACCUAUCCUUGUCCCUCCCGUGGAAGGAAGGCCUUUGAUUUUGUAUUUGUCAGUGUUUGAUGAAUCUGUGGGAUGCGUGCUUGGUCAACAAGAUGAGACUGGAAAGAAAGAACAUGCUAUCUACUAUCUGAGCAAGAAGUUCACCGAUUGUGAAACUCGGUAUACAAUGCUUGAGAAGACUUGUUGUGCUCUAGCUUGGGCUGCCAAACGCCUGCGUCAUUAUUUGGUGAAUCAUACAACUUGGUUGAUAUCCAGAAUGGAUCCGAUAAAGUAUAUCUUUGAGAAAGCUGCUGUUACUGGGAAGAUUGCACGCUGGCAGAUGCUUUUGUCUGAAUACGAUAUUGUGUUCAAAACUCAAAAGGCAAUCAAAGGUAGCAUUCUUGCCGAUCAUCUUGCUUACCAACCUCUUGAUGAUUACCAACCAAUUGAGUUCGAUUUCCCCGAUGAAGAGAUCAUGUAUUUGAAAUCAAAAGACUGCGAAGAACCGUUGAUUGGUGAAGGUCCAGAUCCCAAUAGCAAGUGGGGUUUAGUCUUUGAUGGUGCUGUCAAUGCUUAUGGUAAAGGAAUUGGGGCAGUCAUUGUAUCCCCAGGGGCAUCACAUUCCUUUUACCGCCCGAAUUCUGUUCGAAUGUACCAACAACAUGGCUGAGUAUGAAGCAUGUAUCUUUGGGAUCGAGGAAGCAAUUGACAUGAGAAUCAAACACCUCGACAUCUAUGGAGAUUCCGCGCUCGUCAUCAAUCAGAUAAAGGGUGAAUGGGAGACCCACCAUGCUAAGUUGAUUCCUUAUCGUGAUUAUGCGAGACGUUUGCUGACAUAUUUUACAAAGGUUGAGCUGCACCAUAUUCCUCGUGAUGAGAACCAAAUGGCUGAUGCUCUUGCUACUCUAUCCUCCAUGUUUCGAGUAAACCAUUGGAAUGAUGUGCCAAUAAUCAAAGUGCAACGCCUUGAAAGACCUUCACAUGUGUUUGCUAUUGGGGAUGUGAUCGAUCAGGCUGGUGAAAAUGUGGUUGACUAUAGACCCUGGUACUAUGACAUCAAGCAGUUCUUGCUGAGCCGUGAGUAUCCGCCGGGUGCUUCCAAACAAGACAAGAAGACCUUGAGAAGAUUGGUCAGUAGAUUCCUGUUAGAUGGAGAGAUUCUGUACAAGAGAAACUAUGACAUGGUAUUGUUAAGAUGUGUUGAUGAACAUGAAGCAGAGCAGUUAAUGCAUGAUGUACAUGACGGUACCUUCGGGACCCAUGCUACAGGGCAUACUAUGUCAAGAAAGUUGUUACGAGCAGGUUAUUACUGGAUGGCUAUGGAGCAUGAUUGCUACCAGUACGCCAGAAAAUGCCACAAAUGUCAAAUCUAUGCUGAUAAGAUCCAUGUGCCUCCGCAUGCUCUCAAUGUUAUUUCAUCCCCAUGGCCGUUCUCAAUGUGGGGCAUCGACAUGAUUGGAAGAAUUGAACCGAAGGCUUCAAAUGGUCAUCGUUUCAUCUUAGUAGCAAUUGACUACUUCACCAAGUGGGUUGAAGCAGCAUCUUAUACCAAUGUGACCAAGCAAGUGGUAGCUAAGUUCAUCAAGAACAACAUCAUAUGUCGAUAUGGUGUUCCCAGCAAGAUUAUUACCGACAAUGGUACCAACCUGAACAACAAUGUGGUGCAAGCUCUUUGUGAAGAAUUCAAAAUUGAGCAUCAUAACUCUUCUCCCUAUAGACCUCAGAUGAAUGGUGCAGUUGAGGCCGCCAACAAGAAUAUCAAGAGAAUUGUCCAGAAGAUGGUAACCACUUACAAGGACUGGCAUGAGAUGUUACCCUAUGCUCUGCAUGGCUACCGUACUACUGUGCGCAGUUCAACCGGGGCAACCCCUUUCUCUCUUGUAUAUGGUAUGGAAGCAGUUCUUCCUUUGGAAGUGGAGAUCCCGUCCCUCCGUGUGAUCAUGGAAGCAAAGUUAUCUGAGGCUGAAUGGUGCCAAAGCCGGUAUGACCAGUUGAAUUUGAUUGAGGAAAAACGUAUGGAUGCCAUGGCUCGUGGACAUUCAUAUCAAGCCAGAAUGAAGACUGCUUUUGACAAGAAAGUCAAUCCUCGAGAAUUCAAGGUAGGGGAACUUGUUUUGAAAAGGAGGAUAAGCCAGCAACCCGACCCAAGGGGCAAGUGGACGCCUAACUAUGAAGGUCCUUAUGUUGUCAAGAAGGCCUUCUCCGGUGGUGCUUUAAUCCUUACACACAUGGAUGGUGUAGAACUUCCAAAUCCAGUGAAUGCUGAUAUAGUCAAGAAAUACUUUGCCUAGAAAUAUGAAAAGAACAGCGUGGUAGGUCGAAAACCCGAAAGGGCGGCCUAGGCAAAAAUGCGCUUCCCGGUGGAUCGAAAACCCGAAAGGGCGGUCCAGGCAAAAAUAAGGGACAAAAAACAAAUAUGAAAAAGCUCGCUGAGAUUGUUCGCAACUCAGGCAAAAAUGAGCGUCUCGAUGAAUCGAAAACCCGGAAGGGCGGUUCAUGCAAAAAUGAGAUUGAAGCAAAAGGCAAGUAACUAUAUCUGGCUAACCACCGUCCCCUUGGGGCAUCUGCAGCUGUUAAUGACCAUCUUCAUCAAAAGCUCCUACACUUGCGAAUUCAAAGUUUCCAGGAAAUGUAAUGAUUACUGUGUUCAAUGUACCACCAACCAAUAAAAUUACCAUUUUCCAAGCUUUGUGAAUCCGUGGAGUCAUGCCUUUGGCUGACCACCACUCUUAUACAUCAAUUUGAGCCUUUGCUUUUGUUUGAAAACUCUAUUUUUUUUCCACUUUCAAAGCUAUAUACAAAACAUUUUCUUUCUAUUUUGAUAAUGACAAUGCUUGAAACAAACAUUUUGAAAAUUGAAAACUUUUUGUCUAUUUUGAAAAGCAAACCUGAGCAACAGGGUACAUUCAAAUGAAACAUGCAUGAGCGAGAGUAUGUUGAUGUCUAUUUCAAUAUAUGUUACAAGCAGGUUCUCCUCCGGGAUAGUCUGUGGUCAAUGGCAAGAAUGAAAAAACAGAAUGAAAAUGCAUGAAAAUAAAUGAGCUCGCUAAGUUGAAAACCCGAAAGGGCGGCUUAGGCAAAAAUGAGCACCCCGCUGGAUUGACAACCCGAAAGGGCAGUUCAGGCAAAAAUGGGGCAUUGAAAAGAAUUUAUCUCCCCGGUGGAUCGAAAACCCGAGAGGGCGAUCCAGGCAAAAAUGGGAUGCAAAAAAAUAAAAAUGAGAAUAUAACAUGCAAAAAGCAUUGACCACAGAUGCAAUGUCUACAACAUGCCCAGCACAACGGCAUUUUCCCCAGUCAGGUCUUCCAAGAUUCUAUCUCCAGCAAGUUGCAUAUCUACCUGCCCUCAGCCUAGGUCCCGAUACGUCUCCCAACGACGUCAUCUCCAAAGAGGAUUUCCAAGAAUGUGUAAUAUAGCACGAGCCACUACGUGCCCAAUACUCUAACGUCUUGUCUUCCCCGUGAAGUCGUGCCUACAAACUGCCAACAGUCAUGCAUUACAAGCAUUCAUACAUGCAUAAUCAUGCAUAUUACGUGCCCAUGCAUUUAAUGAAACUGUUAUAUCAUCCAUACAUAUUGCAUUUCCAAUAUCAAUAUCAGUCUCAAUUCAAAACUCAUGACAGGUCCUUUGUCAAAACCUUGUGAGCCAAUAAUAUCGGUCAAUUUCUACCUUUCAAAUCAAAUCGACGUCAAGUCAAUCUCAAUCUAUAUUUGGUCAAAUAAAAACCAAUCCCCAGUGAAUAUGUUUCUGUUCGGUCAAGUGGCUAGUUCAAGUCCAAGAACAGCUUGUACCUAUCAAUUUGCUUAUGUUGUCGGUCGAGUGCCCAGCUCAAUCCAAGAGCAGCUUGUACCUGUCUAUCUGUUUCUGUCCGGUGGAGUAACCAGUUCGCGUCCAAGAACAAGCUCGCACCUGUCUAUUUGCCUUGCUUUCAGUCGAGUAACUAGUUCGAAUCCUUAAGAACAACUCGUACUUGCCAAUUUUCUCUUUUUCCCAGUCGAGUCACCAGUUCGAAUCCAUAAGAACAACUCGCACUUUCCAAUAUCCCCAAGUGAGUCACCAGUUCGAAUCCAUAAGAACAACUCAUGUUUGUCCAGUAACCUCUAUCCCCUGCGAAGUGACCAGUUCGAAUCCAUAAGAACAACUCGCAGUUGUCUGUUUGUUUCAUCCCCGGUCAAGUGGCUAGUUUGAAUCCAAGAACAGCUUGUACCUGUCCAACUUGUUUCUAGUUUCCCGUUGCUCUGCUAUUCACUAUCUUUGUCAAUGUCUACCAAUCCCGCAAUGGAUACGACAUAUUUUGUUAAUUCCCAUCCCCAUGAGGUCUUGCAUUCAUAAUCCAAAUGAUGCAUGGCAUGCAUAUUAUUUGAAAAUGGGUAGGCGUAUUUUUACGUCCAAACACAGUGCAAAUGCUAAUAUUUAAGUAUCUUCGUCCUGUCAAGCCAAAGACUCCGUCUCUUGACUCUCCAGACAAAGAAACUUAAAUAGGGGCAGCUGUUAUACCCUGUUUUUGGACCUAAAAAUACUGGGCCCAAUUUCAUUUCAAACUUUGUCGAUUAUCAAAUUUCAACUGCACAGUUCAAAUUGUCUCUGCCUCGCAGUAUUUUCAAUCACAAUUUUACCUAUGUUUUUCUUGCAUAAAACCUUUCGAAAUGUCUUUACUUGUCUUGUAAGUCAUUCAAAAGUGUCUCUGAAUCAUUACAUUGCUUUUUCUACAGUUUAUUUCAAAAUUUGCAAAAAGUCAUACAGAAGGGUAUUUUGGUCAUUUCCUGCAGUGGGACCCAUUUUCAUCCUUGUGACUGUCUCUGAGUCUUUUCAGAUUACUUUUAAACAUUUCAUCAGUAAACUUUGUUAAAAUUCAUUUCAAACUUACAUCUGAGUCAGUGUCAAGUCAAUUUGAUUCAGUUUAGGUCGUUUUUAGCCCUAGGGGCAUUUUGGUCAUUUCACAUGAAAUUUUGGCAUGGGGAGGUUACUUUGAAGUACCUCAUUUAGGCCAUUGGUUCGUUUUAGUCCGUUUUGUCAAUUUUAUUUUUGUUUCGCUUUACGUUUGGUCAAAUUACGUUUUUUAUUCAAUUUCAUUUUUAAUUGCAUUUUGGUCCCUCAAUUGAGGUCCCAAAGUUGCAUUUUUAGUCCAGAAUUUUCUUUUUUUUACAUUUCAGUCCUUUUUUGGUCAAUUACAGUUUAGUCCUUAAGUGUUGUUUUUUGCAGAAAAGUCCAUUUUUUGUACAAGGCCGUGUCACUCUUUUUUUUCAGGUCCAGGUGUCACUUUCUCAUUUGUUCAGAGGCACACAUGUCAUGCUAUAAAAGGUGCACAGUGCCACACACGCCAACUCAUAAACACAAAUAAAAGUUUCUUUUUCUCAGCAACUGAAUCAAAAACAGAAAAAUUUCUCAGAUUCAUCAAGAACACCAAGAACAAAACCCUAACCGUUUCCAGAAAGUCACAAAUUCAUCAAGUUUCAGUGUUUUUCGUAUCAAUUCUCAGAGAUUCGUAUGAAUCUUCAUCACUGAAUUGAUUGAUUCUCUGCAAUUCCAAACGCGAGCUCGCAUCAAAGCAAGCUCAAGCGUUGAUCACAGAGAGCCUCUCGCAAAAAAAAAAAUCAAAGAAGCAAGUUCAAACGUAUAAUCAGAGAAAGAAUCGGAGAAGAUGAAGAAACCAAGCCAGUAAACCGAUUUAUUUUCGGUCCAGAGAGAAUCAAAGAACGUUCAAGUUUUCCAAAGAUUUUCUCCUUCAAGAAUCUCAACCAAAUUCAGGUAAAACUCAUUUUUCUCUCUUUAAAAAGUAUAAUCACUGUUAAACCUGCAAACAAGAUCCAAAAAAAAUUUCCAGAAUCAUAAAGAAAAUCAUAACCGUAAACACCAAAACACAAAUCCAUAAGGAUCCAAGUUUUGUAAGCAAGAACAAGCAUCAGAGAAGUAACAAAUACGAGACGAUGUAGAUCCUUAAGAGUAUUGAACGCACGCGUUCAAAACCCUAAAAAAAAAAAAUCAUUUCAAAACCGUUUGGAAAUUCUCCGAUCUACGUCGUUUCAAGCUUUAUUUGUGAAAAUCAAGGUCAGAUUCGUGUUUAGGGUUUAAAGGCGAACAAGAAAAGUGUAAAAAAUUGGAAUUCUGGGUGAUUUGCUCGUCGGAACCCUAACUUCUCACCGGAGAAGAUGAAGUUUCCGGUGGAACCUUCAUCUUCUCCGGCCAACAACCACCGGAGAGAGGUGAGCUGAGAGAGUUUAGAGAGAGAGGCUCUGAACUUAGAGAGAGAAAGAGAGUUUACAAAUGGAAAAAACCGGUGCCAUGCCUUAUAAAUAAGCUAGUGAACCGGACCGGUCCAAGACCGGUCCAGUCCCUUUGUUCCUGGCCGUUUGAUCUAGGGUUUCAGAACCCUGGAUCAAUCGUACGUCCCCUGUGCAUCCGGAUCUUUUGAGUGUGGGCUUUGGUCUGGGCUUAGUUUUUCUGUACGUUUUUUGCUAUUUCCUUGCUAUUUGCACUGCCUGUCUUUGCUACCUGCACCUAUGUCUUGAUUAAAAUUGUGAUAAAAUUCCUAGAAAAAUUAUCACAUGUUUCUUGAUAUUUUCUUAGUGUUUUUAUGACAUUUUUGAACAUUAAGGAUCUAUGAAAUUUUUGUAUAAUUAAUUCAUAGCAUUUUAAUUCUCUUUGAAUUAUUUGUUAUGGAUUCUUCUUCACACAUUUGUCCUUGAUGUGAGAAUAUGUGAUAAAAGCUACUUGAUAUGAUAAUAUGAGAGAUUUGUGCUUAUAAUUUCAUGUUGAUUUGCUGUUUUGAUUUGGUUUAUAAGUUCUUGAUUUUAUGAACAAUAUAUGCAUAUUUUGAAAGAUAUGAAAUGCCAAGUUUAUUCUAGAAAAUAUGGCAUGAAACCAUGCUUGCAUAUUUCCAAUAAUUCCAUGCUAUAACUUGAGAUAAAGAAAACUCUUUCAAAAUUUGUUAGAGCAUGAGAAUUAGAGGCCAAGAAUGCUUUAGGUUUCAUACCUAAGUUUUUAGGGUUUAAUGUCAUUUUGUUAACUUUUUGUGCCAUCUUGCAUGCUUUUAUUUCUUAGUACUUGUUAUGUUUUUUUCUUUUCACUAACAAGUUUAUUUCCAUGUUUCAUGCAUCUCAUUUAGCAUUCCAUCCACCUUCUUUAGUCUAGCAUUUAUUUUUGCAAGUUUUAAUUCAUUUUAGAGAUGUAAUUUACCAUUGGUUUGUAGCUUGGCAAAGAGGCCAUAGAAUGUAUUUAGGAAAUGUUGUAAUAUGGACUAUGGACACUAUGACGCACCGACACGCACACACUCACCUUAGAUGUAUGCAUAGGAUUGUAUGGUUAAAUAAGCGUUUAGGUUUUAAACACUUAGAGAAAAUCCAUCUUUUUUCAAAAAAAACAAUUGAACUUCACUUCAAGAAUUUUCAUAAUAAAUAUGAAGUCAACACUUCAUUUUUUCCCUUUCUUUUUUUCUUAAGGAAAAUUCAAUUCAUCUUAACCAUUUAGACUUUCUUUCUAAUCACUAAACAAACCCCCACUUUUUCAUACUCUAAUGCUCAUGAAGCCUCUCAAUCCCCUUCUUCAAAUCAUUUUCAAAAUUUAAAAUCAAACAAUUAAAACAAAAACAAGUUUUUUAGCAAGAACUACGAACGGUUUUGAUCCCUUAAAAGGGUACGUAGGCAAUGAGUCAAAACUCAUCCAAGCCGAAAUAAAAAAUCAAAGUCUUGCAACUUCUCCCCCCAUUCUUAACUAAAUAAACCUCCCAUUUUCAAAAGUAAGUAAAAAUAAGCGUGAAUAUAGACUUAGGAUAACGGCUCCUAUAGAGGACUAUAGUUACUCCGGGUGCCUAACACCUUCCCGUAGUAAAACCGACCCCCGAAUCCGGAAACUCAAGGGUUUUUCUCCUUUUACCCUUCCCAAGAAAAAAGAGGGAUAUCAACG
rnacentral:lncRNA from 1 species